rnacentral:rRNA from 1 species
UGGGGAAUUUUGGACAAUGGGGGAAACCCUGAUCCAGCCAUCCCGCGUGUGCGAUGAAGGCCUUCGGGUUGUAAAGCACUUUUGUCAGGGAAGAAAAGGUUCUGGCUAAUACCCGGAACUGAUGACGGUACCUGAAGAAUAAGCACCGGCUAACUACGUGCCAGCAGCCGCGGUAAUACGUAGGGUGCAAGCGUUAAUCGGAAUUACUGGGCGUAAAGCGUGCGCAGGCGGUUCGGAAAGAAGGAUGUGAAAUCCCAGGGCUCAACCUUGGAACUGCAUUCUUAACUACCGAACUAGAGUAUGUCAGAGGGGGGUAGAAUUCCGCGUGUAGCAGUGAAAUGCGUAGAUAUGCGGAGGAAUACCGAUGGCGAAGGCAGCCCCCUGGGAUAAUACUGACGCU